CCUACGGGGGGCAGCAGUGAGGAAUAUUGGUCAAUGGGCGAGAGCCUGAACCAGCCAAGUCGCGUGAAGGAUGACGGCCCUACGGGUUGUAAACUUCUUUUGUCAGGGAGCAAUUGGGUCCACGCGUGGGCUUAGCGAGAGUACCCGAAGAAAAAGCAUCGGCUAACUCCGUGCCAGCAGCAGCGGUAACACGGGGGAUGCGAGGGUUAUCGGGAUUUAUUGGGGUAAAAGGGUGCGUAGGCGGAAUAUCAGUUCAGCGGGAAAAAUUCGGGGCUAAACCCCGUGCUGCAGUUGAAACUGAUCAUCUGGAGUGGGGGAGAGGUAAGCGGAAUGCGGGGUGUAGCGGUGAAAUGCGUAGAUAUCACGAGGAACACCAGUUGCGAAGGCGGCAUACUGG
rnacentral:rRNA from 1 species